rnacentral:rRNA from 1 species
AAGCGGUGGAGUAUGUGGUUUAAUUCGAUGCAACGCGAGAACUUACCUGGCUUGACAUCCCGGAGACCCUUAGGAAACUAGGGGGGUUGCUUCCAUCUGGAAGAAUCUGGAGACAGGUGCUGCAUGGCUGUCGUCAGCUCGUGUCGUGAGAUGUUGGGUUAAGUCCCGCAACGAGCGCAACCCUUGCCUUUAGUUGCCAGCAGUUCGGCUGGGCACUCUAAAGGGACUGCCGGUGUUAAACCGGAGGAAGGUGGGGAUGACGUCAAGUCCUCAUGGCCUUUAUGACCAGGGCUACACACGUACUACAAUGGCCGAUACAAAGGGCAGCGACACUGCGAGGUGAAGCCAAUCCCGUAAAAUCGGUCUCAGUCCGGAUUGGAGUCUGCAACUCGACUCCAUGAAGUUGGAAUCGCUAGUAAUCGUGGAUCAGCAUGCCACGGUGAAUACGUUCCCGGGCCUU